UACGUAGGGUGCGAGCGUUGUCCGGAAUUACUGGGCGUAAAGAGCUCGUAGGCGGUUUGUUGCGUCGGGUCGUGAAAACCUGGGGCUUAACCCUGGGCCUGCGAUCGAUACGGGCAGACUUGAGUUCGGUAGGGGAGACUGGAAUUCCUGGUGUAGCGGUGAAAUGCGCAGAUAUCAGGAGGAACACCGGUGGCGAAGGCAGGUCUCUGGGCAUUAACUGACGCUGGAGACGCGAAAGCGUGGGGAGCAAACAGG
rnacentral:rRNA from 1 species